GACUUGUUUUAGUGUUAUUGUGGGUUUAAGUUUUAUUGUUAAUUAUUAAUAUCAUUAUUAGAUAUAAGAAAAUUAGUUUAAAAAAAAAAAAGAAAGAAAAAGAAUCAGAGAUGUGGAAAGGGGUUCACGUAACCCCCACCCCUUGAUUUAAAAAGUAAAAUAAAACUAACUACCCACUAAAUCACAUAACCCACCCAUCCAGUACCAUUCUUUUCUUCUACCCUUCGUGAAUCAACGCCGCCUCUGUUUCUUUCGCCUACUUUGAGGCUGAAAGUUUUCUCCACAAAUGAAACACUGAACCCGUCCAUAGGAACUCAACCUUGAACGAAAUUUCCAUUCCACCAGUGGGAAGACUUCGGACAUUAAUUUGGGGAUUUAGGAUUUAUGCUCUGAUGAAGGAGAAGAGUACUCACUCUACAAAAAUUGCUCUUUGAUGCUAUUGAGAUUCACUGACUAGUGGCUCAUUCGCUUAUCGUGGAGUUGUUGAGAGCAGUCGUAUUGGUUCUUCGUAACUAUUUUCAGGCAACUGAGUAGCAGACUGUUGUCAGAUUCAGACCAUUCGACUUAUUUCCUUUAGCAGGUUGUCAUAUUGGUGUCUUUUAUUUAAUCCUGGUCAUCUGCAGCUAUAGGGAGUCCUAGGUGGAUUUAUAUUUGGGAUUGUGAUUUAUUGUAAAGAGAUUCUGGUGUUUUUAUAUAUGUGUACAAGGAUAUUUUGAAUAAAUUGUUUGGAAAAUGAUUCUAUGAGGAAGAGGCUUGCCAGGCUAGGGUAGUAGUUUGUGACCGGUCACGGCUUAGGAUUUUGGGUCGUGACAAUAGAGCUGUUCAAUAUCAUAAAUAGGGCUUUCCUUUUGCCUUCUAUCUAAAUCACAACACUAGCUUUCAUCAAGUUCCCCUUAUCAGACUAUCCCUUAUUUUCUUCAGUUGGCAGGAUGAGAUGUAAAGCUUUUUUUGAUGUUAAUUUUUUUGUUAUUUAAUUGUUUCCAUCAGAUAUAUCAUGGUUUCAUUUCUGUUAGAAAUUGUUCGUAAAAUUAAUUGCAGUGUGGUCUAGCCUAUCAAAUGUCGAAAUUUGAACUUGAGAUCUUGCUCAAGCAUAGGCAUUAUUCAUUUCGACAUAAAAAUUAGAUACAGACUUGUUCCGAUGCACUGUUUUUUGAAGAGGAGAUAGUAUAACCUUUUAAAGAGAAAACUUA